rnacentral:rRNA from 1 species
GAUCAUGGCUCAGGAUGAACGCUGGCGGCGUGCUUAACACAUGCAAGUCGAACGGGGUAUGAUUGAAAGCUUGCUUUGUCAUACUUAGUGGCGGACGGGUGAGUAACGCGUGGGUAACCUGCCUUAUACCGGGGGACAACAGCUGGAAACGGCUGCUAAUACCGCAUAAGCGCACAGAUAGGCAUCUAUCAGUGUGAAAAACUCCGGUGGUAUAAGAUGGACCCGCGUCUGAUUAGCCAGUUGGCGGUGUAACGGACCACCAAAGCGACGAUCAGUAGCCGGCCUGAGAGGGCAAACGGCCACAUUGGGACUGAGACACGGCCCAAACUCCUACGGGAGGCAGCAGUGGGGAAUAUUGCACAAUGGAGGAAACUCUGAUGCAAGCGACGCCGCGUGAGUGAAGAAGUAUCUCGGUAUGUAAAGCUCUAUCAGCAGGAAAGAAAAUGACGGUACCUGACUAAGAAGCCCCGGCUAACUACGUGCCAGCCGCCGC